rnacentral:lncRNA from 10 species
AUUUCAUACACAUGAAAACUUGAUAAAAUCAUUAGAAGAUGUCAUUCAAAGUUAAUGGGCAAUUUUUCUCUCUAGGUAAGGAUGCUCUGGCUGACUAACGUUCUCUUUUCGGAUUCAAUUGGACAUGGUUCUCCAGUGCUUCUUGGCUCUAAUUACGGCGGAAUGUGCCUGUGAGUUGUCCAACAGCUGCCACAUCCUUGUUAAGACAUUAAUGAGAGAAGAUCUUGUGAGAAUUGAAGGAAAAUAGAAAAAAAAUAUUGCAGUUGCAAGAGAAGAAUGAUGCCUGCUCCGUGGGAAUAGUCAAGCCAUGAAAAACCAGCCACCUCAUUUCUUCCCCAGAAGACCAUAAGCACAUGGCAUCUCACUUUGAGGGGCAAAUUCUGAGUUUGGCACUUUAUUUAUAUUUUAUUAAUGUAAACAAUAACAAAACACGUUCAAUCACAAGCACUCUACUCAGCCAGCUUUAUGUCUACCUCUGAAUCGAGGCACUUCUGAGAUGCUUCUCAGUGUUAGGGAAUGCUGGCCUGGAAGGCUUAGGAGCCAACUGGCAAGCUCAUUAGAGGACCAAGAAUUGCAUCAUAAAACAGUGGGACCAAAUGUGUGGGCAGUUAUUUUAAAACAUUAUAAAAACCCACCACUGUGUAUUUUUCUAUGAAUUGUUGACAAAUGUGCUUAGUAAUAGGAUAAGUGAAGAAAAAUGAAUGAAUUAGUUGAGAUUUACUUACAUUUUAACAUUAAUAAUAAAAUACAUGAUGUUAGAUGAAUAAAAUAAUCAAUAUAGACACCUUUAUAUAGACAUCCUUAUCCCAGAACUCUUUGUAAAGGACAUGUAAUGAUCAUAACCAUAACAGCAGCAGCAACUCAACAACAAGAGUGGCCCCACAGGUUCAUGGAGAACGUGGGCCACACAGACACUAUGCUUGACCCAUGAACGCGAUUGCAUUCAACCUCUCCUUAGGAGAGACUUGGCUACCAGAUCACGGAACUGUUAAAGAUGUAGAGGCCCCCUGGAUGGGGUCAACUGGAUGUGUCAUUUUUCUGUUUAAUUUCUAGGAUGGAGUCCUAAUGCCUUUGAAAUAAGACGUAAUUAUGUGAACAUCAUAUAAGAAAUUUAUACCUAUGAUGACGUCUUACUCUAUGUGUCUAAGACAAAAAAAUUAUGUCUGCUCUUAUUCUUCCUACCACAUAGCUCUGUGUUUAUUGCUUCCUGAAAAUUAAUGUUUUUAUUGAUCACUCUUAAAAAAAAAAAAACAGGGUGAGAGGAAACUACUAAGUUGAUUAAACUGGUAACCAGUUCUGCGAUUUCUUCACCAGCCUGCUUUAUCAUGAUGAUAAGACUUUGGUCUUAUUUUCCAAAUAUCUGUAAUGCCUCAAAAUGAACCAAUGAUGUUUUAACCCAAUAACUCAGCUUUUUUUUUCUUAAAGAAUCUUGCUGAGUCACUUUCCUAAUACCAUUCUCCAGUCAUGGAAGUCAGCCAGCUUUGUAAUACUGUCUUACAGAUGCUCUUCAACUUUUAUUGGUCACGAUUUGUUUCCCUAAGAUUUGUAUGCCUUUCAAAUCUUCAAAGUUAGUGAAGCUUUCUUCAGCCAGGAUUCAUCUGUUUAUAGAGCAGAGUGGGUGGCUUUUGGAAAAUACUUGACAUGUUAUAAUAUUGGGCUGAGGAGUCACACGCCACUAUCCAAGUUGUCAUUGAAUGUGCAUUUCCUCUUGGGAAUGGAGUCCUUAAAACUUUGAGUCCUUUACCAAUAGCAAAAAUUAGCAUCCCUUAACAUUUUCACCUGCCUUAACAUUGUGGCCUCUGUUCUGCAGACUUCAGCUAUUAAGUCAGUUUAUUUUUCCCCGACAUUAUAAGCUACACGCUUCCCACUCACUUCUAUCCUGUCUAGCAAACACACUAGUCUUUUCGGUUACUACUUUAAAUCACAAUGAAAACUAUGGUUGUGUAUUCACAUGCAACUAUGGCGUGUGAGUUGAUCCCAUCCUCUGAGCCCAAUCUGUGUGAAGGAAAAUGUUUCUCAUUAGGAAACCACUUCGUUGUGAUCCUUUGGAACCAUUUCUAGCUUGUACAAAUUAUUCAAAAUAGACAUCUUUCCUUUCCCUGGACUCCACCCCGGCCUUGUCUAGCUUUCUGGUGCUUCCAGAAGUUAAACAAGCAGAUGUUAUAAACAAAAACAAACAAACAAACAAAAAGCAAAACAAACAAAAAAAUAAAAAAUAAAAAACAUGAAAGACAAAAACAAAAAGAAAACCACUACCAUGAAUAAAUUUCAUCUUCUGUGCAUUUCUGUUAAAAUUUAUAAAUUUUAUAUUCUCCAUUAAAUCUGUGAAGAUAAUACCCAACUAUGUAAACACAUUGAUAUUCGUGGAUUUUAAAGAAAAUUCUAACAGUACUGACUACUUAAAGUACAGACUUAAAACUGUAAAAUUAUCCUGACACUUGAGGCUAAAGAACAUCUUAGUAAGUGAUUUGCUGUGUCUGUUAACAUUUUGUGAAAAUUUGUAGAUGUGUACACUAUGUUUGGGUUUGAAGCACUUUCUCACCUCUAACUUUUUUCCUUCUUCACCCCCUUAAUCACAGACACAGGAAUGCAGCUGCCCUGUGUGUGUCUCCUUCAUCCUGCUGGGGACAGGCACGGGCAAGGAGAGCUCAGGGGUAACACACGGGCAUAAUUGGGGUCUGAUGAAAUAGGCUAAUCAUGGAUCCACUAAGCAAAUAUUAAUUUUCAUUGGAAGCCCUGCCAUUUUGUGAACUUAUAAGAAAUAAACAGAAGUAUUGUUAGCCUCAGGAUGUAUCUCUUUUCUUUAAGAAAAAAGAAACCCAUUGAUAAAUGUCUCUGAAAGGCUAACUCUCACCACUUCAUGCUCUUCUAAUGCUUCUGCACUGUCCUAUGUGAGGCUUGAGUGAUGUGGGUGUGCCACUGAAGGGCCGUGGGUAGGAGCGGUGUGUUUUCUGAACACCUGUUACACCUUUAUUACCCAGUUCUAUGAAAACAUGUAUAACAUAGAAGCAAAGCACUCAUGCUAAAGAUCGCUUCUGCUGAUCCUUGCUGCCAAGAUCUCCCUUACGGUCCUCAGCGUCUCUUCCCUUGACCAGGUUCUUCCUGUCUUCUUGGGCUGCUUUCUCUGUAUUAUUUUUCUCUUCUUCUUCCAGCUUAUGGAAACCAUUCCUACCACAAUUUUCUCUUCUAAAUUUGGUUUGAUAAAACCAAAUACUUUUCAUUGUUUCACCUGCAGUGAUCUUUUUCUUAGACUUUUGCAUUUUGCAUUCUUUUAGUUUUAGUAUCUGUACUGGCAUUUCUUAUAUAGAGGUCCUGUUCACACCAUGCCCACAUUCUACAGUGGAUUAUACACUUUGAAUAUCAAGCUCCAGCUAUAUGAGGUAGUUUGGGAUUAUUGAAAGGACACCAAGAGGCAGAAUGGCCAUGUAAGUUAUUGUUCAAGUCAGGAUACUUUUGAGAGUUAAAAAAGGCAAGUUAACAACAUCACACCACGGAUGUAACUGGGACAAUUCCAGCCAAGAACUGAGAUGGUCCUUUCUUUCCUCCUCUCCCACCCCAUUCUCCUCCUUGUCCUCCUUCUUCUUCCUCCUCUUCCCCAUCCUCCUCUACUGCCUGUUCAUAGGGGAAAUAUACGUCUGUCUGUCUGUCUAUCUAUCUAUCUAUCUAUCUUUCUAUCUAUUAUCUAUCCAUCUCCCAAAUGCAAACACUGAAUCACUAGUCAAUAAGUCUCAUUAUAAAUGUUUGAUGCUAGCCCAAUGCUGGGCUCACUUUCUAAACUCCUAGGUAAUUCCACAACAGAAAGAAAUAAGAUUUCAGGUAUUAUUUUAUGUUUCUUAUAAUAUUAUCAGUAUAGGAUACUAGUUAAACUGUGGAGACACAGAGACAAAUGGAGACUAGUCUGAAUAACCUGGAGACAGUCCUCUCUCACAGCAAAGUAAAAUCUGGUUUGGUGGUUCUGCUUUGCAAAGUUAUGACGGGCUCAAGCUCUUCCUACCUUUUUGCCUCACUCUCCUGACCUGUUGUCCUCUCCACAUAGCCCCAGAUGACUCACCAUCAUAUCCACAUUCUAGCCAGUGGGAAGGGGAAAUGGAGUUGGUAAAAGCAUGUUCCUCUUUCUCUUGUGCACUGCAACUCUGCACAGUCCAUCUGUUCUUACCCCAUUGGCCAGAAUGCAGUCACCUUGCUUCUACUGGCUGCAAGGAAGGAUGGGGAUUGUAGUUUUUCCCAUGAGAACUCAUAUACCCAGACUAAAAUUGGUAACUGUAUUAUCAAGAGAGAGUGGGAGCAACUUGGGGACAUUGACAGUUUCUGUCACACUUAGCAAUAUGAUGUACUCAUAGAGGGAUACACAAUUCUUGCUGUUGUUGCCUAUUGAUAACUUCACUGUGUAUUUUCUGGUCUUCAGUUUACCAUAUUGUGAUAUAUACUGUGUACAUGUAUAGGGACUUCAUUACUUUCACUCAAAAGCUCCAAUAAAGAAUCAUGCAGUCUAGGUGCAGUGGCUCACACUUGUAAUCCCAACACUUUGGGAGGUCAAGGCAGGAGGAUCGCUUGAGGCCAGGAGUUUGAGACCAGCCUGGGCAACAUAGGGAGACCCAAUCUUUACAGAAAAUAAUAAUAAAAAGAAUCAUGCAAAUCUCUAAUUGUGGAAGUGUUAUUUUAGCAAACUACAUGAAAAGCUUACGGGUUAUACCAUUCAUUUCCUUACCAUGACAUUUUAUUUAAUUUAACUACAAAAUCUCAAAGAGUCUAAUACUUUCUGAUGCUCUUUUCAUUUUGUGCCUUUCACAUUAUAAUUUAUAGCUUAAAGCCACCUUUCUCAAAGUCUAAAAAUCUGUUAGUCAAUUUUUCCCUUUUUAUAACCUUUCCAUAUAUUCUGUCAUAUUAAAGAGAUGAUGAAGCCCAUUAUGGCCAUUAGAAUUCUGAUGCAAUUAAGUUUUAUUCCACUAUAAGUGACAGGUACUUGAUUCCUUCUUGGAAUGGGAUAAUUUUCUACAGGCCUGCAACUCUUACACCCUCGUUAAUUUGCAAGGCUGUUUUAGAAAAUAUGUUGUCAGUGCUGAAUGAGGUACAUCUCUAACUUUGAACAAAUCAUUGUCUUAAUGUUCUUCAGGUUAUAACAUCCAUUUAAAGAAAAACCUCACCAUUGUCCCCAGGAGAGUCAAUAAAAAUGCUUCUGUGCUUUGUUUGUGGACACUUAAAUAAUAGGAGAGCUCCCCCUACUGAUUGACGUUAGGGAAUUAUGGAGGAGGGGCUAAUCUCAGGCCUUUCGCUCUUGUUAAUUUCUCUAAUGCUCAUGCACAGACCAAGAUGAAAAUCAAAAGCAAGCCUGUUUGACACUGGCUUUUGAAAUGCUUAAAAACAUCAGCAUUUGUCAAGUGGAAAGAUUUUCAUUUCAAAGUUCUAACAGGUUAUUAUUAUUCCAAGCAAUGGAGAGUUAAAAAAGGUUGAACAACUAUAAUAAUGGUGGCAUCUAAGUGUGGGGAGUGAUCAGGUGUUAUUGUUUGUUUGCAUAAAAUGAUAUCACCUAGCUUUGUGUUGGGUUUGUUUAAGAAAUGUAGGCUAAUUAGGCCAUACAAGUAACUUUGUUUUCUGAAAAUUAAUUAAGCUUUUGUGGCCUUACCAGGUUACAGGGCCAGGCUCACCUCCCACACAGUUGCUCUGGAGCUAUGUAGGAGGCAAGCCUGUCUCACGCUGAACUGCCAGGUGAUGCCGUCACGGGAAG